AAUGGACAGAGAGCAAGAGGAGUAGGAGGGAGAGGAAGAGGGCAAAGAAGAGAAGGAAGGAGAGCCGUCUCUGAUGAGAUUAGGGCAAAACUUGUUGAUCAUGUGAUCAACCACGGUUUGACCAUGAGAGAGGCUGGACUGAGAGUCCAGCCCAACUUGAGUCGAUUUACAGUGGCAUCCAUAAUUCGAACCUUCAGAAAUGAGAACAGAGUGGAAAGGCAAAGCCAUGGAGGACGAGGACGCUUGUUUACAGAUGUACAAGCGACUCCAAUUAUAAAUAUGGUCUAUGUGGGGACAUAGAGGUUGCCUCUGUCCAAGGUUGGAUACGCCAUGCUAGGAGAUACUUCCCUCAAUGUUUGGCAAGAGAAAACGUAUCCUGUGAGUCUGGCCAAGUAUUGUGGCCAGACUCCGGCUGGAGAAGAGAUGAAGCGUAGCUUAGCACUGGUGAUCCCCCCCCUACCAAUUCCUGGACUGACCCCCCGGGACCCCACACACACAUUGUGUUCUUUACUGUAUUCUAAAGAAUAUACUUUUGGUUUACAUAUGUUUAUGGUUUUGUUGUAUGCUACUGUAUACAACAGUAAUGUUUGGCCUAAUAAAUAUUUUCUGUUUCUACAUUGCA